CCUACGGGCGGCUGCAGUGGGGAAUAUUGCACAAUGGGCGCAAGCCUGAUGCAGCCAUGCCGCGUGUGUGAAGAAGGCCUUCGGGUUGUAAAGCACUUUCAGCGGGGAGGAAGGCGGUGAGGUUAAUAACCUCAUCGAUUGACGUUACCCGCAGAAGAAGCACCGGCUAACUCCGUGCCAGCAGCCGCGGUAAUACGGAGGGUGCAAGCGUUAAUCGGAAUUACUGGGCGUAAAGCGCACGCAGGCGGUCUGUCAAGUCGGAUGUGAAAUCCCCGGGCUCAACCUGGGAACUGCAUUCGAAACUGGCAGGCUAGAGUCUUGUAGAGGGGGGUAGAAUUCCAGGUGUAGCGGUGAAAUGCGUAGAGAUCUGGAGGAAUACCGGUGGCGAAGGCGGCCCCCUGGACAAAGAUUGACGCUCAGGUGCGAAAGCGUGGGGAGCAAACAGGAUUAGAUACCCCUGUAGUC
rnacentral:rRNA from 1 species